GAAAACAGGCCGAUUCCAAGGGGCAGCUGCCCGGAGGGAAGGCUGCUCCUCAGUCAGGUUCAGGGUUCCAGCGUGGAAUUCCAGGAGGAGUACUUGAAUCGCAGCCUGCAGCAUUCUUGAAAGAGACAGGUGGGGAAGACCCUCGGGCUGGAACGUACUGGAGUUCCUGGCUUGCUGCAGUUGACUUGCUGCCUGAUCUCUGGUGUUCUUCAAAGAGCUGCUCAGAUGUCAUUCUUCAGGUCAACGGCAAAGACUUAUCCAGAGCAACUCAUGACCAGGCUGUGGAAGCUUUCAAGACAGCCAAGGAGCCCAUAGUGGUGCAGGUGUUGAGAAGAACACCAAGGACCAAAAUGUUCACGCCUCCAUCAGAGUCGCAGCUGGUGGACACGGGAACCCAAACCGACAUCACCUUUGAACAUAUCAUGGCCCUCACUAAGAUGUCCUCUCCCAGCCCACCCGUGCUGGAUCCCUAUCUCUUGCCAGAGGAGCAUCCUUCAGCCCAUGAAUACUACGAUCCAAAUGACUACAUUGGAGACAUCCAUCAGGAGAUGGACAGGGAGGAGCUGGAGCUGGAGGAAGUGGACCUCUAC
rnacentral:sRNA from 1 species